UCAUGGCUCAGAUUGAACGCUGGCGGCAGGCCUAACACAUGCAAGUCGAGCGGAUGAGAGGAGCUUGCUCCUCGAUUCAGCGGCGGACGGGUGAGUAAUGCCUAGGAAUCUGCCUAGUAGUGGGGGACAACGUUUCGAAAGGAACGCUAAUACCGCAUACGUCCUACGGGAGAAAGUGGGGGAUCUUCGGACCUCACGCUAUUAGAUGAGCCUAGGUCGGAUUAGCUAGUUGGUAGGGUAAAGGCCUACCAAGGCGACGAUCCGUAACUGGUCUGAGAGGAUGAUCAGUCACACUGGAACUGAGACACGGUCCAGACUCCUACGGGAGGCAGCAGUGGGGAAUAUUGGACAAUGGGCGAAAGCCUGAUCCAGCCAUGCCGCGUGUGUGAAGAAGGCCCUCGGGUCGUAAAGCACUUUAAGUUGGGAGGAAGGGCUUACAGCGAAUACCUGUGAGUUUUGACGUUACCGACAGAAUAAGCACCGGCUAACUUCGUGCCAGCAGCCGCGGUAAUACGAAGGGUGCAAGCGUUAAUCGGAAUUACUGGGCGUAAAGCGCGCGUAGGUGGCUUGAUAAGUUGGAUGUGAAAUCCCCGGGCUCAACCUGGGAACUGCAUCCAAAACUGUCUGGCUAGAGUGCGGUAGAGGGUAGUGGAAUUUCCAGUGUAGCGGUGAAAUGCGUAGAUAUUGGAAGGAACACCAGUGGCGAAGGCGACUACCUGGACUGACACUGACACUGAGGUGCGAAAGCGUGGGGAGCAAACAGGAUUAGAUACCCUGGUAGUCCACGCCGUAAAACGAUGUCAACUAGCCGUUGGGAUCCUUGAGAUCUUAGUGGCGCAGCUAACGCAUUAAGUUGACCGCU
rnacentral:rRNA from 1 species